GGUGAUGAUGACAAUUGGUGACUCCGAGUGUCUCGCUGACGCCAUCACCGCAGCGCGCUGAAGCC
ensembl:snoRNA